GACGAACGCUGGCGGCGUGCUUAACACAUGCAAGUCGAACGGAAAGGCCCUUCGGGGUGCUCGAGUGGCGAACGGGUGAGUAACACGUGGGUGAUCUGCCCUGCACUUUGGGAUGAGCCUGGGAAACUGGGUCUAAUACCGAAUAGGACUCCGGCCUUCAUGGGUUGGGGUGGAAAGCUUUUGCGGUGUGGGAUGGGCCCGCGGCCUAUCAGCUUGUUGGUGGGGUAAUGGCCUACCAAGGCGACGACGGGUAGCCGGCCUGGGAGGGUGACCGGCCACACUGGGACUGAGAUACGGCCCAGACUCCUACGGGAGGCAGCAGUGGGGAAUAUUGCACAAUGGGCGCAAGCCUGAUGCAGCGACGCCGCGUGAGGGAUGACGGCCUUCGGGUUGUAAACCUCUUUCAGCACAGACGAAGCGCAAGUGACGGUAUGUGCAGAAGAAGGACCGGCCAACUACGUGCCAGCAGCCGCGGUAACAC
rnacentral:rRNA from 1 species